rnacentral:sRNA from 1 species
UAAUGGGGUACAAAGGCUAAGGUCGCGAUGUCCUGUCGCAACGCCUUCGUGAUUCGUGA